GGGGGGAUUCCCGAGUGGCCAAAGGGGACUGACUGUAAAUCAGUUGGCACUGCCUUCGAAGGUUCGAAUCCUUCUCCCCCCACCA
rnacentral:tRNA from 1 species